CCCAAAGUGCUGGGAUUACAGGCAUGAGCCACCGUACCCCGCCCACAACUUAACUGUAAAUAUAGAAAUUAUAAUGUGCUAUACUGUUUAAGAAAAACUAGGUUUCAUAUUUCCCCAGUUGACACAAGGUGGUUAUCGUCCUUUAGUCAGAAGGUACAUUUUUGUUCAAUAAUCAAUAAGGAUAGAUGUAGACACCCAUUUGAUCUAAAAUACAGCAUACAUUUAAAAUACAGCCUUGGCCUCCAUGACCUCCCGCCCCCCGAAGUUCUUUAGAGACAAGCUUGUUGAGGUUCCUCCAUGAAGAGGGAGCUGUCUGAUGUGACCCUGAACUGGCGUCGUCUCCAGAACAUGGGCCACACCGGCUCUGUUGUUGCAGGUGGCGAAGGUUACUGGGAUUGCAGUUGGCAUCGGCCUAGCCUCAGCUCGUGACACCUUCACGUCUCAGGUUGGACAAGGGAGUGCUUCCAGGAGUGGAGCUCCUACAUCUGCCUGGUUAUUUCCAGUAUGUUCAUGGUGUGCACUGAGCGGUGGACAUUUGAGAUCGGAAACUUCCUUGCAGGACUGAUUGACGUGAUGAAGCUCGGCACCCAGGGCAUCAUCUAUGAGCUGGCAUUGGUGGCCUACAUGGUAAGAACUCGGGUGAGACUUGGGACGAGACCUAGCACCUUCUCUGCUUAAACCUGCUGCGCCACUGUCAUUGCGUUCACUCAGCAGAUGUGCACCAUGGGAAGGGAGGAACCAGGCAGCACAAGCGAGAGAGGACAGUGCAGUGGGGACAGCAUAGACGGGGGCCAGACACACGGAACUGUCCUGGCCAUGUCGUUCCCCAACUGUGUGACCUGGGCUUGUUACUUAACUUUUCCAAGCUUUAGUUUCCUCAUA